rnacentral:lncRNA from 1 species
AUGAGAGGUUUGUGUAAGGAGGAGGACUACGCGUUCCUGGGAAUGUCAGGGGAGACGACCAAAGAAGCGGCCGAAGGAGCCGGGGCUUCGGAGGGCGAGCGGCGGGACAAGAGGGAUGGGAGAGUCCACGGGCAACAAGAAUGGGAGCGGCAGCAAAGAGAGAAGCUCCGAGGAAAAGAGGAGCGUGAAGAGGAGAAAGACCUGCAGCGGCGGACCCGCGUGCCAGAGCCGGCCUCCGUCCAGGAGAAGACGCUGCAGGACAGACUGGCACGGCUCAGGAAAUUCAGAGAGUUCCAGAGGAAGGUGUUGGUGGAGGAAUCGGGGACGGACGGAGAGACACUUGGGGCCCACGGUCAACUAGCUCCUCACCAGGAUGCAGAUGGCACCAGGAAAUGAGCCGUGCCCACGUAGUGGAAAUAAAGAAUCUAAGUAUUCUCA